rnacentral:misc_RNA from 1 species
CAAUGAGUGUUUUAUGGCACUCUUUAAAAAUCCAUAUCCACCUUGUGUGCAAUGUCAGUCGAUCUUCUUCAUGGAGUUCGACCAAACAUCAACCUUAUUUUUUAACUCUUUGUCUGAAAAAUAUUAUGAAUAAACAAUUCAAAAUA